rnacentral:rRNA from 1 species
CCUGCCUCAUACAGGGGGAUAACAGUUGGAAACGACUGCUAAUACCGCAUAAGCGCACAGGGUCGCAUGACCUGGUGUGAAAAACUCCGGUGGUAUGAGAUGGACCCGCGUCUGAUUAGCUAGUUGGUGAGGUAACGGCCCACCAAGGCGACGAUCAGUAGCCGACCUGAGAGGGUGACCGGCCACAUUGGGACUGAGACACGGCCCAAACUCCUACGGGAGGCAGCAGUGGGGAAUAUUGCACAAUGGGGGAAACCCUGAUGCAGCGACGCCGCGUGAGCGAAGAAGUAUUUCGGUAUGUAAAGCUCUAUCAGCAGGGAAGAAAAUGACGGUACCUGACUAAGAAGCCCCGGCUAACUACGUGCCAGCAGCCGCGGUAAUACGUAGGGGGCAAGCGUUAUCCGGAUUUACUGGGUGUAAAGGGAGCGCAGGCGGUACGGCAAGUCUGAUGUGAAAGCCCGGGGCUCAACCCCGGUACUGCAUUGGAAACUGUCGGACUAGAGUGUCGGAGGGGUAAGUGGAAUUCCUAGUGUAGCGGUGAAAUGCGUAGAUAUUAGGAGGAACACCAGUGGCGAAGGCGGCUUACUGGACGGUAACUGACGUUGAGGCUCGAAAGCGUGGGGAGCAAACAGGAUUAGAUACCCUGGUAGUCCACGCCGUAAACGAUGUCGACUUGGAGGUUGUGCCCUUGAGGCGUGGCUUCCGGAGCUAACGCGUUAAGUCGACCGCCUGGGGAGUACGGCCGCAAGGUUAAAACUCAAAU